CACACCGUGCCUAAGUUCUCUGGCUGUCCUCGCCUGCCAAAGGUGUAUUGGACAAGGUGAGCAUAAAGAUUAUCACCCACAACAGUUUUAAGAGUGAAGGCGACCCAUGGAAAAAUGCACAAGGACAACAGGAGUAACCAGAACUGUCGUAAGCAAACAGAUUGUACGGUCAUCCUAACUAUGGGAAGCCAGGUGUAUGCAGAUGAUACUUGGGAGGUACUGAGUGUGACUGCAUCAUGGCAAAUGGUGUCAGCAUGUGGAUGGCUCCGGGAUUGAGGGAGCAUGUGACGCCAGAUUCACAGAUCACCUGGUAUCAGCCAUGUGUAGGAGAGGACUAGUCCAGCAGCUACUCACUCCUUGGGGCAGAUGGCUUCCUGGGUGUGCAUUUUCAUGUUGACCCACGGCUUCCUCAGCUGGCUGAGACCAGAGUACUCACAGACCUGGGAGAUUG
rnacentral:lncRNA from 1 species